CCUACGGGUGGCUGCAGUGGGGAAUAUUGCGCAAUGGGUGAAAGCCUGACGCAGCGACGCCGCGUGAGGGAUGAAGGUCUUCGGAUCGUAAACCUCUGUCAGCAGGGAAGAACGGUCACUGUGCUAAUCAGCAGUGAAUUGACGGUACCUGACUAAGAAGCCCCGGCUAACUACGUGCCAGCAGCCGCGGUAAUACGUAGGGGGCAAGCGUUAUCCGGAUUUACUGGGUGUAAAGGGAGCGUAGCAGGCUAAUCAAGUCAGAAGUGAAAACCCAGGGCUCAACUUUGGGACUGCUUUUGAAACUGAGUAGCGGGAGUGCAGGAGAGGUAAGCGGAAUUCCUGGUGUAGCGGUGAAAUGCGUAGAUAUUAGGAGGAACACCAGUGGCGAAGGCGGCUUACUGGACUGUAACUGACGUUGAGGCUCGAAAGCGUGGGGAGCAAACAGGAUUAGAUACCCCAGUAGUC
rnacentral:rRNA from 1 species